GCACUGAUGACGAGUCCAAAACUAGGACGAAACAACUGUCCAGUUC
rnacentral:hammerhead_ribozyme from 1 species